CAGAGGUGCCAAGCGUUGUUCGGAUUUAUUGGGCGUAAAGGGUGCGUAGGCGGUUGUGUAAGUCGGGUGUGAAAUUCCGGAGCCUAACUCCGGAACUGCAUUCGAAACUACACAGCUCGAGGUCUGGAGAGGUGACUGGAAUUCUUGGUGUAGCAGUGAAAUGCGUAGAUAUCAAGAGGAACACCAGAGGCGAAAGCGAGUCACUGGACAGAACCUGACGCUGAGGCACGAAAGCUAGGGUAGCAAACGGGAUUAGAUACCCCGGUAGUCCUAGCCGUAAACGGUGCGCAUUUGAGGUGGGAGGAUUCGACCCCUUCCGUCUUGUAGCUAACGCGAUAAAUGCGCCGCCUGGGGAGUACGGUCGCAAGAUUA
rnacentral:rRNA from 1 species